CCUACGGGUGGCAGCAGUAGGGAAUAUUGCGCAAUGGGGGAAACCCUGACGCAGCAACGCCGCGUGAGGGAUGAAGGCCUUCGGGGUGUAAAGAUCUGUCAGUGGGGACGAAACCUGACGGUACCCACAGAGGAAGCACCGGCUAACUCCGUGCCAGCAGCCGCGGUAAUACGGGGGGUGCAAGCGUUGUCCGGAAUCAUUGGGCGUAAAGAGUUCGUAGGUGGCACGUUAAGUCUGGAGGUAAAGGCGGAAGCUAAACUUCCGUAGGGCAGUGGAUACUGGCGGGCUUGAGUGCGGUAGAGGUAAGGGGAAUUCCUGGUGUAGCGGUGAAAUGCGUAGAUAUCAGGAAGAACAUCGGUGGCGUAGGCGCUUUACUGGGCCGUAAUUGACACUGAGGAACGAAAGCCGGGGUAGCAAAUAGGAUUAGAUACCCCUGUAGUC
rnacentral:rRNA from 1 species